GGAAAAAGCCAUGGUUUAAUCUCCUGGCUUGAACAGCUCUAAGACAGGUAACAUUUGGGUACAAUGUAGCCUAAUUACUGUAAUUAUUCAGUCUAGUUUAAAGUGAGUUUUCAGUUUUGGUGGUAUUAUUUGGCAUUUGCUCAAAUCGUCGACUAUAUGAUUGAUGGAUUUUCUUUUUGUUAAGCGACACAGCAGCACUUCUUCCUCUCCCUGCUUCCGCCAUGUGUGGCGCGUCACGAGGCUGAAGAGUCUGUCAGCACAAACAGCGCGAAAGUUUGCGUCGGCGGAGCAACAAUGCUUUUUUUUUUUCUUAAAAAAAAAGGGGUGUUUCUGUCUUCCUACGUUUAACGGUAUGUAGGAACCGGUGCGCCGCGGUGAAUGUGUGUAAGACAGCGCGCUACCACGGCGGUGAAUUGUGAAUUGUGAAGAUGCUGGAGUGAGGAGCGGUGUUGUUGUAAAGGCUUAUUAGCAAUGGACAGUCCAUGUUCUGUGAACCGAAGGCAGGCAUGGGCUCAAUGCAGCCGCCACUGGCUCACAGUGGAAGACACAGAGCCACAUGCAUCUGCGUCCAGUAACGCACGUACCACUCCAGCUGCACAGCUUUCUCUGCAGGACGAAGUCUUUCCUGAUGGAUGCGCUACAGGAAAGAUUGAAACCUGGCUCCAAAGCUGUGGAAAUGAAGCCAGUCAAGAGAACCCAAGUCAACUCACUCUGGAAUCUUUGCUGAAGUCUGCUAACAGUUUUGAGGACGACCUGAGCCUCGGGGCUGAAGCUACAGGACUAGAUGAUGGAUUGCAUGACGAAGAGUUAGGGCACUGUCCAUUGCUCCUGCCUCCUCCUAAAUCACGUCGCAAAGAUUUGCACACAAGCACUCCUCAGCAGAGGCUUAACCUGCCAUUCAGAAACAUGGGCCACAGUGUUGCAUCUAGUAUCUUCUCCUCCACCACCAAUAAAACUGCUUCCAGUGUGUCUGAGGUCCUGCAGAUGUGUGCUGAGGAUGCAGAGGAGACUCUGUACCAGUUAGGAUUUGGUUGUGAGGAGCCACAAGUAACAGCCCGUAUUCCAGCUCGUUUCUUCACUUUCCCUUCGCAGCUCAGAGGCAUCAACUUCCGCCUGUUCCUUGAGUCACAGCUCCGCCGCAUUCGGGAAGAGGACCCCAGCCUCUCACUCGCUAGUCGUUUCCGUCAGGUGGAGGUGUUAACAGCCAUGGCCAAUGCUUUCUAUUCUCUCUACUCCCACGUAUCUCGGACACCGCUUCAGAAGCUGGCACCCCCUGAAUUCAGCUUUUCUUCUCCCACUAUGGAGCGGAGCAUUGGUCAGCGCUUCUUUGGCAAUGUCCGCACUGAACCACGCUCUCCCGUGGAGCGUCUCAAAGACACUGUGUCCAAGAUGUGCUUAUACACACGUGGCUCGGACUCUGCUUCUCCAAACUGUUCUCCUCGCAAGAGGAACAGCCUACCAGAUGUGGUUGAAAUGAUAGUAGGGAAUGUGAGGGGUGAAGCGAGCCAUGACCAGAGUAAUGGAAUGUGGAUACGGGCGCAAGCAGGGGAUGGCAACGUAACUCCUAAGGUGAAAGAUGAAAAGGCUCUACAGCAUGCUGAAGUGAAGGCUGCUGAAAAAAUGAGUGACCAUGAGAAAACUACAAGUGCACACAAGCAGAGGAUCCAGCGGUGGUCACAGUCAGGGCAGAGAGAAGGUCCUAGAGCAAAGGGUUGCCUGUUUAAGUCACACCAUGCAUCUCUGGAAUCUAGGCAUACUCAGACUUCACGGGAUACAGACUUGGAUGAAGGUUCCUCCAGUUCCUCUUUGCUUCCUGACUCCUCUAAAGAUCCUGCUGAUACUAAUGCACCAGCUCCCAUUGUUGCUUAUGAUGAAAUUUCCCCUCAUGUAGUGGAGCAUGUGCAUAAAGCACCUUAUGGGUGUCCAGAGAUGCAUAGUGUAUCAACAGUGGGCUUAUCAACCUCUGCUCAUAUGCACAGUCCAGACUCGUGUCCUAGGACACCUGAACUAGAGCACAAGCUAAGCAUUACGGAUACAAAAUCAUCCUCGUUCUGUGCUGGUGAUGAGCUUAUGGUGGAAGUACCAGUAACUUCAAAGAUUUCACAAGGUGACCUUGUGUCCCUACACCCAAGCAUCACACAAGGGUCACCAUGUCAGAUCAUGGUCACUGGAUGGGAGGAUGAUGAUGACCCUAUUUUACACAGAGAAUCAUUUGACGACUAUAAUUAUUUCAUGUACCCUGGUAGCACUGCGCAGGUGCAUUCAUCCCAGUCAGACCAGCAGAGGUACCUGAGCCCCAACAACCCCUCAACUAGCCAGAUCAACUGCCAACUCAAGCAGGCCAACUCCUUUGAGUUGGAGGAGUUAAUAAUACAAAAAUGCAGCAUGUCAAGUUGCUGAGAAACUGCAAAUCCCUUUCCCAUGUUGGACAACUGAUGGGAACAUCAGCUUUACCUCUGACUGUUACAAAGCACUGGAGACUCCUUCCAUAAAUGUUAAAUAAACAUGUAUAUAAUGUUAAAUAAACAUGUAAAAUCCAUUUAUGUGGAAUGUCUGCUGGACAAGUCCCUGUGUAUUAAUUGUUACAUAUUACACUAUGUACAUUAAUAUAAACCUGUGAGUUGCCUUGUAGCUGGCACUAGUUGCAAAAACAGCAGAAUUACACAACAGUUCAUUCCGGAAUAUCUUCAUGGCUUGUGCGAUAAUCCUUAAUUGAUUAUCAACUUCUGACUAAUCAGAUUAGAGAAUUCAACAGUGUUGUGGUAUAAAUUAAUGUAAUAGAGGGUAAUAAACAGUUCACAAUAUUUAAUCAACAAUUGUACAUCACAGAGCCCUGACAAUAGUGAACAACAGUUCAAAAAAUUGAGAUGAAUUCUAUCUCUGAACCUAAAUAUAACCAGGAGUAUUUCACACAUAGUUUUGUAUUUUGGCUGUAUUUUUACACAUCUCUUUAUUAAUACAGCCACCCUCUUUUUACCCUCACCAUAUUUUUUCUCUUCUCAAUAUAUUGCACACUUGCAUGCAGAGAAUAUUAUUGUGGCCAUAGAAGUCAAUCAGUUUCUCACCUGCUACAGCCCAAAUCAGUGGCAUAUGUUAAAUAUGCAGAAUUUACUUAAAUGUUCACAAGUCAAGUCUAUGCUGAGUGCUGAAUAGCCAUUAAUAUGUUGCUUCUGCAAAGGUGCAGAGUGUGGGAGAGGAGGAGAACACAUCAGUGGAGCAGUGUAGUGCGUACACACUGUCAGUUACAGCAUCUACGCAUCAGAAAUGUUCACCCUUGAGAGGGGACAGUUUCCAGUCAGACAGCAGUGGCUAUGCUGAAGAGGACAUGCAGAAUUUACUCACCUCCACUAACAGAGAGAUUAGCUGAAGACC